UUUUUUUUAAGAUCCAAGUUUCUGAGCGAUUUUGUUCAGUUCGACGCGGUUAAUGGCCGAUCAACGUUGACUCGCCGAUUAAACGCCCGAGUUGUCCGCGUUUUAGAACAUGGGUAAGGACCAAAAUUCUAAUCUUUCUGAUGACAUUUGAUUUUAUUCAGAUUUAAAAUUCGGUUAGGCAAAACUAUCGUCGGCUGCUGUUACAACCAUUGUGCAGAACAAUUUUUCUAAAAAUAAAUUUAACAUUCAUUCAAAAAAAAUUAUUAUAAAAAAAUUGGCAACUGAACUUUGGUUCAUGUGUAUACUAAUUGUGUUAGUGCAGUGAAGACUGAGUUUUAGAAGCUGGAGAAAAACAAUUCCUCAAGGUGUCCAUGUACCAGUCGUAAAGUACUACAUGAAGUCAUACAAGAAGUGCUACGUAAAGUGAAGCUGUGUAGCUGACUUGAAGCCGACGUACAGCUAAAUUACAAGAUACUUGGAUGCUAAGCAAGCUAUGAUUUACCUUGGGGAAGGGUAAAUCAUCAAGGGAAGAUUUCCAAAAGGCUUUGAAGAAGUUUUAGAAAUAUUUCAUAAAGGAAGAUUUGUGAAUAUCUCUUCGUUGAGAAGUUGGCAAGGAUAAGCAACACAAUCUACAUGUAUAAGUAGACAGAGACGUGCCUUGGGAUAGGUACCACCUUAAGAGAAGGCCGUAAGCAUAAGGGCUUUGGUGUUGAAUUAGAGUAGACACAAAGCAUAAGGGCUAGGGGUCAUGAGGAGGCCAGAGGAGUUCUUGGGUUAGUUUGAUCUAGGAAUGUGUUAGGCUAGUGUCUCUGUCUUGUAUGUAACAUUUUAGUCAAUUCGGAAGAGAGUUAUUAAG
rnacentral:lncRNA from 1 species